AAUAGAUACCCCGGUAGUCCACGCCCUAAACGAUGUCUACUAGUUGUUGGGUCUUAAUUGACUUAGUAACGCAGCUAACGCGUGAAGUAGACCGCCUGGGGAGUACGGUCGCAAGAUUAAAACUCAAAGGAAUUGACGGGGACCCGCACAAGCGGUGGAUGAUGUGGAUUAAUUCGAUGCAACGCGAAAAACCUUACCUACCCUUGACAUGUCAGGAAUCCUUGAGAGAUUGAGGAGUGCCCGAAAGGGAACCUGAACACAGGUGCUGCAUGGCUGUCGUCAGCUCGUGUCGUGAGAUGUUGGGUUAAGUCCCGCAACGAGCGCAACCCUUGUCAUUAGUUGCUACGCAAGAGCACUCUAAUGAGACUGCCGGUGACAAACCGGAGGAAGGUGGGGAUGACGUCAAGUCCUCAUGGCCCUUAUGGGUAGGGCUUCACACGUCAUACAAUGGUACAUACAGAGGGCCGCCAACCCGCGAGGGGAGCUAAUCCCAGAAAGUGUAUCGUAGUCCGGAUUGUAGUCUGCAACUCGACUA
rnacentral:rRNA from 1 species